GAGAGGGCGUGGCGAGGGAAGCAGAGGAGCGCAACAGAGGAAGUCCACCUGGGAUGAUAUCCAACAACUCAUGAGAGUGUUCUUCAUGAUCAAAGAGAGAGAGAGGAUAGUACAGGAAGCCAGAAAAAAAAGUCCCAGGGUUACCAUUGAUUACCAGGCUAUCAUCGACAGCAGAUUUGACUAGACCUGACUGGGACUUAAUAUGGCAGGAGGUAUCUUCAGCACCCGUCCUGGACAAAUGACACCAACGUGGGGCAUAAGAGGAGUUUCAAGUUUCCUCACAAGAAAAGUGAUAAAGUGUCUUCUGCCACCCAAGAGAUUUCACUAACGAAGGCGACUAGCUGUGGAGGAGUAAACAACCUAUGCAGUAAAAAAUUAACUCAUAAAAAACAUCGCUCCUCAGAUGAGCUUUCCAGUCACGUGGUAGGGAAGCUCUCUUCUUUCCCUUCCUUUUGCUUUGCCCUCUCCCCUCCCUUCCCUUUCUCUUCUCCUUAACUCCUCCCUCCCCCACUUCUUGUAUAUCAUGCUGAUCUCAAACUUACUAAGGUUGACUUUGAACUUCUUUUUUUUUUUGUUCUUUUUUUUCGGAGCUGGGGACCGAACCCAGGGCCUUGUGCUUCCUAGUUCUCAGGAGAAGCAGGGACAGGACAUUCUUGAAAAUCCACAGAAUGUACUGACUGAUAGUCACCUGACCCUCUGGUCCCAGAUAGAGUUCGAAUGCAUGUCAUUGUCACGCCCACCUCGGCCGGCAAGGAAGACGCAACACAGUCGGAUUCUUCUCAACAGCCUUUAUUGCAGGACCACCUCUUUGCUGAUAUGGGGACCUUGAGCGGCAAAAACGCUCGCCUUAUAUACACAACAGGCUGUGGCUAUGCUAAUUGUCCUUCAGGGAUUGGCGGAGCACGAAUCACCCCACUAUCACCCCUGCUAUUUGUCCUCCAGGGAUUGGCGGAGAACGAAUCACCUCACUAGAAUGGUACCGUCCCGGCCAACUGACUCCAGGUGCAAAACCCGUGCAUGCGCAGUACCAUUGUUCACCACAGGAGGGCGCCCUACAUGUCAUGCUUGCUAGCCAAUAGAUUCAAAGGUCAAUAUGCUUAGCCAAUAAGUUUAAACUGUAACCUUGACCUGUACCCCUAAAAAAGUAUAAAAACUGCUUGUUAUAGCCAUUCGAGGUCACCUUCCAGUCACUCAGCCCCACGAGGAGCCUAAUUGAAGUCGACCCUGACGCGCUGGAAAAUAAACCUCUUGCAUUUGCAUCUAACUCUGUUCUUGUGUCUCACUUGGGGGGUCUCCCAGUACUUAAAACUCGAGCCUUACAAACAAAGAGUGAUUUAUUCUGCAGAAGCCCAGCAUGCUGGGGGUGGGGCGUCUCCCAUUACCAAGAUAGAGAGACCUCUAUGUGAGUUCACAAUUGAAAGCACAUUAGGGGAGUUCCAGGGUAGGUGGGCUCUUUCUUUAUCUCUAGUCAAGUGCAGUAGUGAGAAGGGGAAAGUAUAGAUCAGGACUUCAAUCUGUAACGGUGAACAAUCCAUUGAGAUAACGCACUACCUUUAGACCAGCCUGUCUGAUUCCUCAGCAGGAUGAGACAUCCCUGUGACUUGUUAUCUCUCACAAACAACAGCUUUCGAUUCACGGCUUCUGGCAAAUGUUUGGGAGAGGAAGGGCUCGGUUUUAUUUAAGGGGCAGGCCACUGAGAGUUUGACCGUGCUCUCCAGUGACUACAUCG
ensembl:lncRNA